rnacentral:lncRNA from 1 species
UGUCAGUGCUGGCCGAAGGGGGCGCCGAGAAGCUGAAGGAAAAAAGACGCAGAAUGUUGGAUUAAAGGAGGCAGGAUGGGCCAAAUACUCCUAUACAGUCCACGCAAAGAGGGGUUGGACGAGCUCGGGUCUUCACUGGGGAGCACUCAGGGACCAAGGGAUAUCCCUUGUCUCAAUAAUUCAUGCUGGUGAUUUCAAAACUUCUGGCCAUGUCUUCUGAGGCUAAAAAUAUUGAAGAUACUGCCUUCCCCAAAAGGACAGAGGAGAAGCAUGCCAAAAGGAGGAAAGGAAGUUACCAUAUCAAAAAGAUACCUGCACACAUAUGUGUAUCGCAGCACAAUUCACAAUUGCAGAUAUGGAGUCAACCAAGGUGCCCAUCAGCUUGUGGAUAAAGGAAAGUGUGAUGUAUACAGGCCAAGCACAGUGGCUCAUGCCUGUAAUCCAGCACUUUGGGAGGCUGAGGCAGAAGGAUUCCUUGAAGCCAGGAGUUUGAGACCAGCCUGGACAACAAAGUGAGACCCUGUCUCUAUUUUUUUUAAGUGGUGUAUAUGUACCAUGGAAUACUACUAAGCCAUAAAAAGAACCAAAUAAUGUAUUUUCAGCU